UAAUACAGAGGGUGCGAGCGUUGUCCGGAAUCACUGGGCGUAAAGGGCGCGUAGGUGGCGGGAUAAGCGUGUGGUGAAAGCCCGGGGCUCAACCCCGUGUCUGCCAUGCGGACUGUCUUGCUCGAGCGUAGUAGAGGCAGGUGGAAUUCCGGGUGUAGCGGUGGAAUGCGUAGAGAUCCGGAAGAACACCGGUGGCGAAGGCGGCCUGCUGGGCUACUGCUGACACUGAGGCGCGACAGCGUGGGGAGCAAACAGGAUUAGAUACCCUGGUAGUCCACGCCGUAAACGAUGGGUACUAGGUGUCUGGGGGAGCGACCCCCUGGGUGCCGGCGCUAACGCAUGAAGUACCCCGCCUGGGGAGUACGGCCGCAAGGCUG
rnacentral:rRNA from 1 species